rnacentral:ncRNA from 2 species
UAUCACAGCCAGCUUUGUUGAGC